UAACGCGUAGGUAACCUACCUCAUAGCGGGGGAUAACUAUUGGAAACGAUAGCUAAUACCGCAUAAGAGAGACUAACGCAUGUUAGUAAUUUAAAAGGGGCAAUUGCUCCACUAUGAGAUGGACCUGCGUUGUAUUAGCUAGUUGGUGAGGUAAAGGCUCACCAAGGCGACGAUACAUAGCCGACCUGAGAGGGUGAUCGGCCACACUGGGACUGAGACACGACCCAG
rnacentral:rRNA from 1 species